GCCCCGGUGUCUCAGUGGUAGAGCUCCUCUAUGUGGUGAGCAAACGCACCUAGCAAUAACUAUGAGAAGGUCACAGGUUCAAUCCUGCCCGUGGCU
rnacentral:tRNA from 1 species